AACCCAGGGGUAUUUUCCUCUAACAUUUCACUCGCGAGAAAAAUAACUAAUUAUUUUGUGAAACGUUAGAGGGAAAUACCCCUGGGUU
rfam:Nematostella vectensis strain CH2 x CH6 NEMVEscaffold_1_Cont66, whole genome shotgun sequence.